rnacentral:rRNA from 1 species
AAUAAACGCUGGCGGCGUGCUUAACACAUGCAAGUCGAGCGAGAACGUUUCUUCGGAAAUUAGUACAGCGGCGGACGGGUGAGUAACACGUGAGAAUUUACCCUUUAGUGAAGAAUACUCCUGAGAAAUCAGGCUUAAUACUGCAUAAGUCCCUACGGGGAGAAAGGUGGCCUCUUUGCUGCCGCUAAAGGAUAAGCUUGCGGGCUAUUAGCUAGUUGGUGAGGUAAAGGCUCACCAAGGCAAUGAUGGCUAGCCGACCUGAGAGGGUGUACGGCCA